rnacentral:rRNA from 1 species
AUUGAACGCUGGCGGCAGGCCUAACACAUGCAAGUCGAACGAGUGGCGGACGGGUGAGUAAUGUCUGGGAAACUGCCUGCUGGCGGGGGAUAACUACUGGAAACGGUCGCUAAUACCGCAUACUAUCAGAUGUGCCCAGAUGGGCGUAGCUAGUUGGUUGGGUAACGGCUCACCAGGGCGACGAGCCCUAGCUGGUCUGAGAGGAUGACCAGCCACACGGGAACUGAGACACGGUCCAGAGUCCUACGGGAGGCAGCAGUGGGGAAUAUUGCACAAUGGGCGCAAGCGUGAUGCAGCCAUGCCGCGUGUAUGAAGAAGGCCUGCGGGUUGUAGAGUACUUACAGCGGUGAGGCGGUAGCCGGAGAAGAAGCACCGGCUAACUCCGUGCCAGCAGCCGCGGUAAUUC